rnacentral:snRNA from 1 species
UUGCUUCAGCAGCACAUAUACUAAAAUCAGAAUGAUACAGAGAAAAUUAGCAUGGCCCCUGCACAAAUUUGUGAAGUGUUCCAUAUUUUU